CUCUAGAGGAUCCCCCGGCGAGUUGUUUCACGGGAGUCAGACAGCGGGAGCUAACUUUCGUUGUCGAAAGGGAAACAACCCAGACCAUCAGCUAAGGCCCCCAAGUCAUGACUAAGUGGGAAAGGAAGUGGGAGCGCCCAGACAACCAGGAGGUUGGCUUAGAAGCAGCCACCCUUUAAAGAAAGCGUAACAGCUCACUGGUCGAGCGAGCCUGCACCGAAAAUUUAACGGGGCUCAAGUCAUGCGCCGAAGCUAUGGGAUUUAUAUUUAUAUAAAUCGGUAGGGGAGCGUUCCCUGUGCAGUGAAGCUGAAUCGAAAGGGUCAGUGGAGCGCAGGGAAGUGAGGAUGUUGGCAUAAGUAACGAAAAUGUGGGCGAGAAACCCACACGCCGAAAGCCCAAGGUUUCCCGGGCCAUGUUAUUCAGCCCGGGGUUAGUCGGCACCUAAGACGAGGCCGAAAGGCGUAGUCGACGGAAAACCGGUUCAUAUUCCGGUACUUGCAUGUGCGCGUGAUGGAGGGACGCAGGAGGAUAGGCCGGCCUGGUGAUGGAUAUCCAGGUUCAAGGCCGUAGGCGGAAGUCCCAGGUAAAUCCGGGACUUUAUCUAACGCCGAGAGUCGAUGACGAGAGGCUUUGCUUCGCAAAGCGGUCGAUUCCACACUGCCAAGAAAAGCUUCUAAGCAUAGCAGAUGCAAACCGUACCCCAAACCGACACAGGUGGGCGGGUAGAGAAUACCAAGGCGCUUGAGGGAAAUCAUGUUAAGGAACUCUGCAAAAUAACUCCGUAACUUCGGAAGAAGGAGUGCCUGCAGCGGUGAAGGGACUUGCUCCUGGAGCUUAAGCGGGCCGCAGUGACCAGGCCCAGCCGACUGUUUAGCAAAAACACAGCACUCUGCUAAAUCGCAAGAUGAUGUAUAGGGUGUGACGCCUGCCCGGUGCCGGAAGGUUAAUGGGAGGGGUUACCCCGCUUCUAAAUGGUUUUUAGAGAUAAAAACGCAUAUGCAUUAUGUUUAUAUCAUACAUAGUGAUAAUGACCAGUUCUAAAGGUUAUAGUUCUGAUUUAAGAGCAAGGAUAACUGCUCAUAAUGAAGGACAAACCAAGUCAACAAGAGGACGAAUAUGGAAAUUAGUUUACUAUGAAGCUUAUCUGGAUGAGAAAAGUGCUCGUCACGGAGAGCGGAUGUUAAAACAUGAUGGUCGCACUCGUCGAUAUUUGAUGGAGCGAGUUAAAGAAAGCGUAAAGAAUCAUUUAGUAGCGGGGGAAGCUCCGAACUGAAGCCCCGGUAAACGGCGGCCGUAACUAUAACGGUCCUAAGGUAGCGAAAUUCCUUGUCGGGUAAGUUCCGACCUGCACGAAUGGCGUAACGAUCUGGGCGCUGUCUCAAUGUGAUUCUCAGUGAAAUUGAAAUGGCGGUGAAGAUACCGUCAACCCGCGGCAAGACGGAAAGACCCCGUGCACCUUUACUGCAGCUUGGCAGUGAACUUGGGAAA
rnacentral:rRNA from 1 species